GUAGUCAUAUGCUUGUCUCAAAGCUUAAGCCAUGCAAGUCUCAGUACGAGCUGUCUUAAAGUGAAACCGCAAAAGGCUCAGUAAACCGGUCAUAGUUUACCGGAUAUAUGCCACUUACGUGGAUAACUGUGGUAAUUCUAGAGCUAAUACAUGCAAACAAGUCCCGACCAGCGAUGGAGAGGACGCUUUUAUUGGAUCAAAACCAUUCGCCCGGCUUGCCCGGGCGUCGGCUUGAUGACUCUAGAUAACACCACAGAUCGCACGGUCACAGUACCGGUGACAUAUCCUUCAAAUGUCUGACUUAUCAGCUGUCGAUGGUAGACUCUGUGUCUACCAUGGCGCUCACGGGUGACGGG
rnacentral:rRNA from 1 species